CCUACGGGCGGCAGCAGUGAGGAAUAUUGGUCAAUGGACGAGAGUCUGAACCAGCCAAGUAGCGUGAAGGAUGACUGCCCUAUGUGUUGUAAACUUCUUUUAUAAAGGAAUAAAACGAGGCACGUGUGCCUUUUUGCAUGUACUUUAUGAAUAAGGAUCGGCUAACUCCGUGCCAGCCGCCGCGGUAAUACGGAGGAUCCGAGCGUUAUCCGGAUUUAUUGGGUUUAAAGGAAGCGUAGAUGGGUUGUUAAGUCAGUUGUGAAAGUUUGCGGCUCAACCGUAAAAUUGCAAUUGAUACUGGCAGUCUUGAGUACAGUUGAGGUAGGCGGAAUUCGUGGUGUAGCGGUGAAAUGCUUAGAUAUCACGAAGAACCCCGAUUGCGAAGGCAGCUUACUAAACUGUGACUGACAUUGAUGCUCGAAAGUGUGGGUAUCAAACAGGAUUAGAUACCCUAGUAGUC
rnacentral:rRNA from 1 species